AGCCAAGUUUAAUGUGUGGGCCAUAUUCCAGUAUAUUUUUUGAAUUUGCUGCAGACCAAUUAAAAAUGUAUCAAGGGCCGCACUUGGCCCGGGGGCCGUAGUUUGGACAGCGCUGCACUAUACCCAUCACAGAGAGAACCAGUCAGGUCUACCUUGAAGGCCUACACGUGACACUAACAUAAUUUCAAUCUGUUAGUACUCCACACACUUUUUGUGACAGGGGAGAAAGUGGAUGGGGAUGGCCUUUGUGUCAUAAUUCAAAAUCAAUGAAAUUGGUCAAUCAUCGAUUGACCGUUUAUGGAGGUUACAUUACCGCAGCUGUGCUGUCCGGGACAGAGAAGACCGGAGACAGAGCCGUGGGGGGUGCCGAAGAGGGCUCGCCUCCUCUCCUCCGCUUGGGCCUCCUGGUGGACAGGAAGACGUUGCCCUCGUAUACGAGCACCGCUUCAUGGUGGAGGGGAGGAGCGGCCACCCGAGGUAACCUGAUGCACGAUCGGGGGCCACUUGUGAGGUUGGAGAACCGUGCGCCAGGUAGGAAAUCCCGGAGCACCUCGAGGGCCAGGCGGUUCGACGUCUCGAACGGGAUUCCGACGUGAGUGUCUGCGAGUGUUUUCCGCAUGGCCCAAAAGGGGCUCCCCCCCGUUGGAUCGAUGUCCCCGGAGACCGCAGGAUGGCUCAUCUUCCGGACCAGCACCGGGGAGAUCCAAGUCCCCUCCGGGGACGGAGAGGGGGAGCUGGAGGUGGAGGAGGGGUUGUUGGAGGGUCGGGGGACUCCCAUCCGGUCCAGGAUCCGGUCCGGUAUGGUCCAGAGGGGGAUGGACCCCACCUGAGCGUCUUCGGGGAUGUAGAUUUCCCGACGUUCCGAGGCGUCCAUGGGUCAGGAGGUCUACAAGGAGAGUGCUAUCAUUAAUGUUCAGGAACUGACGGUUAACGUGAGGGGUCUUAAACUAAAAAGAGUAAAGGUAAGGGUCCUUAAACUAGUGAACAUUCAGAACUUUCCGUCUUCUCGGUGUUACUCUGUGAUGUGUGUGUCUUCC
ensembl:lncRNA